rnacentral:rRNA from 1 species
UCUGGAUUGCAUGGUCGCACGCUGUGGCUGAUCUGUAUCAUCUAUUCAUGGUGUUCGGAUUGCUUGGUGUCGUGGUCGUGUGAUCUUUCUGCCGUAUCUGUUUCGACAGUUUCGGUUGACUUCGGUCAACUGGCAUGCUCUCGGAUGUCUUUAACAGGGUGUCCGGAGCAAACGGCAUGUUUACUUUGAACAAAUUUGAGUGCUCAAAGCAGGCCGUAGUGCCUGAAAAGUCUUGCAUGGAAUAAUGAAAUAGGACUUCGGUUCUAUUUUGUUGGUUUUCGGAUCCGAAGUAAU